UUCCAUCUUUAGUCUCUCGCCAUAUUUCAUGUCUGAUACAUUUCUUUUUAGCCAUAGUUCAUUGUGCAGAGGGUUGAGGCAUUGAGCUUCCCAUCAUAUAAAUUGCAGCCAUAUAGUAUCAUACUCACUCAACAGGAUAACAUCAAUUCAUUGGGAGAUCACUAUGAACAAAAUACUGAAUGUGACGAAACCCAAGUUACUUUAGACAGUGCACAAUUGUUCUUGAGCUCACUGCUGCCUUGCUGUUUGUGUUGUUUUCUCUUGUUUCCCACACUCCCGUUGUGCCUUUGUUUGUUAGUUUGAGAUGCAAGGAAAGGACACAAUGUCAAGUGCUUUCAUUCUUUUCUCUCCUUGUACUGUCAUGUUGCUUCUCUUGUAAUGUGAAGGAGAUACGUCCUCAUCUUCCAUGAUGUUAGGCUUUGCCAAAUUUCCCAAGUGUCCUCUCCUCCUUCAGGUUGUCUUAACAAGUGCCAAUAGCAAUGCCUCAUUUGUCUAAAGUAGGCUUUCCCCAGUACCAGUGGCAUAUAUAGAAGUCAUCCUAUUGGAUGAGAUUGUUGACUAUCUUGAUUGGUAAUCUGUGCUAGUGAGGGAGCAAGCCACAAAGCAGCAUGUAGAAGAAGUGAAACCAUGCAAUACAUGUAUACGCAUUAUUGCAAAGCAUAUCUAGAACUUCCAUAGUCCAACCCUGAUGUUUGGUAGCAGUUUUCCUUGAAAAUAGGAAAGCUGACUGUGUUUGAUAAGGAUUCGUAAUGAAAUAAACUUCACCUGAAUAGUACUGCAGUGAGUUUUGGAGCAAUUGCCUCAUUGAGAGAAGACAUUUGUACCAGGGUAUUAGAAAUUUCCCCUUCUUUGAUCCCUGUGUUUCAAUUAUCCAUGAAGAAUGACUGGGCCCUUUGUUGUCUAACUCUUUUUUUUUUAGCAUAAGGGAGUUCAUUUUUCAUGCCUCUGGAGAAACUAGACAAUUAGACAAUGUCUGACAUAAUUUUGAAAAAAUGCAUUUAUUGGGGCUUUGUGUAUCUCUUAUUUAUCACAACUUAUCUGAGGCCCAGAUGUUCAAGAUCCUGAGUUUCUGCUGCAUAGGAUGCUGCUGAAGGGAUUCCUCCCAGUCCCAGGCACCAUGUUAGCAUUCAGACUGACUUACUGGUACUUAACUGCAUGGUCUGUCAUGUAUUUGCCUGGUUUGGAUGUGUCGUGAGUCCAAUGCUAUCACACAGGAGAUGCAAUUGAUAAAGCACUACCACACACAUUACCAUUAACGUUCAUAUCAGCAUGUCAGAGGUGCCUGCUGGCGGACACUACCUUGCAGAUUAUCUAAGAACAUGAUGUAGUAGCCUGCCCUUACUUCUCUCUCCCAAACUGCUCGAAUUCUAGGGGGAAAGGUCGUUUUAAAAACUUGUAUUCCAGUUCUGAUGGUCACCUUUAUUGAAUGGUAUUUAUCAACCACUUAUAGGUGGUCAGAUGGUGCCUUCAGAAUGCUGGGCAUGAUGAGAUGAGAGGGAUGUUGUUGUCUUUUAGAAUCCUUUCAAUUAGCUUGAAUUUACAUUGGUACAUCUGUAAUCUUAACUACCUGCUUGCCCUCUGGAGUAAUAUGUAGGGGGCAACAGCCCAGGUAGUGUUAUCUUUACCCUAAUAUGCUCACUUUCCUUGUUAUUCGAGUGGAACACACUUAAAUGUGGAAUCAGUGUUGUGGAGCACUCAAUUUUGUCUUAAGAAAUCUUGGGCUCUUGCCUAUAUGAGGGGCAUUACCAACUUUAAUUUUAUUUUGUUAUUCUGCAAGGUUUGUGUACAGAAAACUUCUUUCCUUCCUUUUCUUUCUACAGCAGUUUCUCUGUAUGAAAGCCUCACUGCUUGUAUCCUUUUCCCUUUUUUAUCCCUCUUGCUGGAGCACAUUGGAGCCAGGCAUUUACCAGUGGAUUCCAGCUUCUUGAUUUAUUUAAAUCGGAAUCUUCCCUUUUGUGGGAGAAAAGUGAGAAGUCUCCACCUAAUGCCUUUGAUCCUGAUGUCCUCCAGUUCCCAUUCAUGGAUUCUAAAAGCCUUUGUAUGCAAUCACUGGAGAGGCAGCAAAGAGUCUGUGCAUUGCCGUUUCUUGCAAAACCACUCAUUUACCCCUUCCAGGAAUGCUAACUGUUGGAUCCCUGCUCUGAUUUGCCCCAGCAUGGAGGCUGUAGGGGACUCUGAGCACCCUACAUGUGCCAUUCUCAUGUGACUUUUUUACCUAUGUAUGAAAGAUAUUAACUAAGAUUGCUGUAAAGAAAGAUACAAAUUAUUAUAGCAUAUUAUAUAAAUAUAUAUGUAUAUAACAGUUCUGUACCUUGUUUACCUCAGUGUAUGAAAUGGUGGUUGAAGCACGGUUGGAAUGUUUAACAGAUCCCCCUCCCUAUAUCCCUUCAGAGCAGAGGCACAAUUGGGCCUCUGCACUGUAGCAGAAGUAAAAUCAUUCCAAAAAGAGAUGGUUAAAGGAAAAAAAGAAACUGCCUAUGAUGCAUCAAACUGACUAUCCAUCUAGUCUAGCGCUAUGUAACAGCAGCCAACCAGGUACCUCUCAGUUAGGAUAAGCAGAGAAAAAGGUAGCAGCCAGGGUACCUUGGAUAAUCCACAAAACCAAAAGCACACUAAAGAUAACAGGCACAAGUUUAAUAAACACAAUGCGCCUAUUAACAGAUCAGCAGCAAAGGAAAGAAGCACUCAGACUAAGUACCAACAUUCCACGAUAUGCAAAUGGAUUUUGCACAAGGUCUGUUAUGGAGCAAUUGAUGCAAAAUGCUGAGAGGGAUGUAUCUAUGGAACCAUAAGUAAAUUAGGUUUUUCUGUUUUAGUAACUCAUUCCAGCAAGAGGGAAUUAGCAUGUUUUGAUAAGUCAAUGGAUGAUGCUAACUUGGCAAGUUGUCAUUCUAGCUUUGCACAUUAAAACUGCACUUUACACCAA